AGAGUUUGAUCCUGGCUCAGAACGAACGCUGGCGGCAUGCCUAACACAUGCAAGUCGAACGAGACCUUCGGGUCUAGUGGCGCACGGGUGCGUAACGCGUGGGAAUCUGCCCUUCGGUUCAGAAUAACUCAGGGAAACUUGAGCUAAUACCGGAUAAUGACGUAAGUCCAAAGAUUUAUCGCCGAAGGAUGAGCCCGCGUAGGAUUAGCUUGUUGGUGGGGUAAUGGCCCACCAAGGCGACGAUCCUUAGCUGGUCUGAGAGGAUGAUCAGCCACACUGGGACUGAGACACGGCCCAGACUCCUACGGGAGGCAGCAGUGGGGAAUAUUGGACAAUGGGCGAAAGCCUGAUCCAGCAAUGCCGCGUGAGUGAUGAAGGCCUUAGGGUUGUAAAGCUCUUUUACCCGGGAUGAUAAUGACAGUACCGGGAGAAUAAGCUCCGGCUAACUCCGUG
rnacentral:rRNA from 1 species